GCGGAAGUCUUCGGAUGGAAGCAAUAAACCUUAGCGGCGGACGGGUGAGUAACGCGUGGGUAACCUGCCUCAUACAGGGGGAUGACAGUUAGAAAUGACUGCUAAAACCGCAUAAGCGCACAUUGUCGAGUGACAGAGUGUGAAAAACUCCGGUGGUAUGAGAUGGACCCGCGUCUGAUUAGCUAGUUGGUGAGGUAACGGCCCACCAAGGCGACGAUCAGUAGCCGGCCUGAGAGGGCGACCGGCCACAUUGGGACUGAGACACGGCCCAAACUCCUACGGGAGGCAGCAGUGGGGAAUAUUGCACAAUGGGGGAAACCCUGAUGCAGCGACGCCGCGUGAGUGAAGAAGUAUUUCGGUAUGUAAAGCUCUAUCAGCAGGGAAGAAGAAAGACGGUACCUGACUAAGAAGCCCCGGCUAACUACGUGCCAGCAGCCGCGGUAAUACGUAGGGGGCAAGCGUUAUCCGGAUUUACUGGGUGUAAAGGGAGCGUAGACGGCUGUGCAAGUCUGAAGUGAAAGCCCAGGGCUCAACCCUGGGACUGCUUUGGAAACUGUGGAGCUAGAGUGCUGGAGAGGUAAGUGGAAUUCCUAGUGUAGCGGUGAAAUGCGUAGAUAUUAGGAGGAACACCAGUGGCGAAGGCGGCUUACUGGACAGUAACUGACGUUGAGGCUCGAAAGCGUGGGGAGCAAACAGGAUUAGAUACCCUGGUAGUCCACGCGGUAAACGAUGAAUACUAGGUGUUGGAGAGCAAAGCUUUUCGGUGCCGUCGCAAACGCAAUAAGUAUUCCACCUGGGGAGUACGUUCGCAAGAAUGAAACUCAAAGGAAUUGACGGG
rnacentral:rRNA from 1 species